rnacentral:rRNA from 1 species
GGGAGGUAGUGACAAUAAAUAACAAUACGGGGCUCUUUUGGGUCUCGUAAUUGGAAUGAGUACAAUUUAAAUCUCUUAACGAGGAACAAUUGGAGGGCAAGUCUGGUGCCUGCAGCCGCGGUAAUUCCAGCUCCAAUAGCGUAUAUUAAAGUUGCUGCAGUUAAAAAGCUCGUAGUUGAAUUUCGGGACCAUCAUGUCGGUCGUGCCUCGGUACGUACUGGUAUUGUUGGUUUCUCCCUUCUGACGAACCAUGAUGUCAUUUAUUUGGUGUUGUGGGGAAUCAGGACUGUUACUUUGAAAAAUUAGAGUGUUUAAGGCAGGCUAACGCUUGAAUACAUUAGCAUGGAAUAAUGAAAUAGGACGUUAAUCCUAUUUUGUUGGUUUCUAGGAUCGACGUAAUGAUUAAUAGGGAUAGUUGGG